GCGAACGCUGGCGGCAGGCCUAACACAUGCAAGUCGAACGAACUCUUCGGAGUUAGUGGCGGACGGGUGAGUAACACGUGGGAACGUGCCUUUAGGUUCGGAAUAACUCAGGGAAACUUGUGCUAAUACCGAAUGUGCCCUUCGGGGGAAAGAUUUAUCGCCUUUAGAGCGGCCCGCGUCUGAUUAGCUAGUUGGUGAGGUAAAGGCUCACCAAGGCGACGAUCAGUAGCUGGUCUGAGAGGAUGAUCAGCCACAUUGGGACUGAGACACGGCCCAAACUCCUACGGGAGGCAGCAGUGGGGAAUCUUGCGCAAUGGGCGAAAGCCUGACGCAGCCAUGCCGCGUGAAUGAUGAAGGUCUUAGGAUUGUAAAAUUCUUUCACCGGGGACGAUAAUGACGGUACCCGGAGAAGAAGCCCCGGCUAACUUCGUG
rnacentral:rRNA from 1 species